GGAGGGGGCGAGCGUUAUUCGGAUUUACUGGGCGUAAAGCGCACGUAGGCGGCUAGGUAUGUCAAAGGUGAAAGCCCUCGACUCAACCGAGGAACUGCCUUUGAAACUGCUUGGCUUGAGUCCGGGAGAGGGGAGCGGAGUUCCCAGUGUAGCGGUGAAAUGCGUAGAUACUGGGAGGAACACCGGUGGCGAAGGCGGCUCCCUGGACCGGCACUGACGCUGAGGUGCGAAGGCGUGAGUAGCAAACAGGAUUAGAUACCCUGGUAGUCCACGCCGUAAACGAUGGGCACUAGGUGCAGCGGGUGUCGACCCCCUGCUGUGCCGAAGCUAACGCAUUAAGUGCCCCGCCUGGGGAGUACGGUCGCAAGGCUG
rnacentral:rRNA from 1 species